rnacentral:rRNA from 1 species
ACACGUAGGGGCCUGACGUUGUUCGGAAUCAUUGGGCGUAAAGGGCGCGCAGGCGGCCGUCCAAGUCCGGUGUUAAAUGGUCGGGCUCAACCCGAUCAUGCGCUGGAAACUGGGCGGCUGGAGUCCCGGAGGGGAUGCCGGAAUUCCAGGUGUAGGGGUGAAAUCUGUAGAUAUCUGGAAGAACACCGAUGGCGAAGGCAGGCAUCUGGCCGGAGACUGACGCUGAGGCGCGAAGGCGCGGGGAGCGAACAGGUUUAGAUACCCUGGUAGUCCGCGCAGUAAACGAUGCGCACCAGGUGUCGGGCGGCAGCGCCCGGUACCGGAGCAAACGCGAUGAGUGCGCCGCCUGGGGAGUAUGCCCGCAAGGGUGAAACUUAAAGGAAUUGACGGGG